rnacentral:rRNA from 1 species
GGGUCAGUAGGUUGGUCGUGCCACCGGUACGUACUGGUCUCACUGAUUCCUCCUUCCUGAAGAACCGUAAUGCCAUUAAUUUGGUGUUGCGGGGAAACAGGACUGUUACCUUGAAAAAAUUAGAGUGUUUAAAGCAAGCUAACGCUUUAAUACAUUAGCAUGGAAUAAUGAAAUAGGACGAUCGAUCCUAUUUUGUUGGUUCCUAGGAUUGACGUA